GAUGAACGCUGGCGGCGUGCUUAACACAUGCAAGUCGAACGAAGCACUUUAUUUGAUUUCCUUCGGGACUGAUUAUUUUGUGACUGAGUGGCGGACGGGUGAGUAACGCGUGGGUAACCUGCCUUGUACAGGGGGAUAACAGUUGGAAACGGCUGCUAAUACCGCAUAAGCGCACAGCAUCGCAUGAUGCAGUGUGAAAAACUCCGGUGGUAUAAGAUGGACCCGCGUUGGAUUAGCUAGUUGGUGAGGUAACGGCCCACCAAGGCGACUAUCCAUAGCCGACCUGAGAGGGUGACCGGCCACAUUGGGACUGAGACACGGCCCAAACUCCUACGGGAGGCAGCAGUGGGGAAUAUUGCACAAUGGGCGAAAGCCUGAUGCAGCGACGCCGCGUGAGCGAAGAAGUAUUUCGGUAUGUAAAGCUCUAUCAGCAGGGAAGAUAAUGACGGUACCUGACUAAGAAGCACCGGCUAAAUACGUG
rnacentral:rRNA from 1 species